rnacentral:rRNA from 1 species
GAUGAACGCUGGCGGCGUGCCUAAUACAUGCAAGUCGAGCGAACGGACGAGAAGCUUGCUUUUCUGAUGUUAGCGGCGGACGGGUGAGUAACACGUGGAUAACCUACCUAUAAGACUGGGAUAACUUCGGGAAACCGGAGCUAAUACCGGAUAAUAUUUUGAACCGCAUGGCUCAAAAGUGAAAGACGGUCUUGCUGUCACUUAUAGAUGGAUCCGCGCUGCAUUAGCUAGUUGGUAAGGUAACGGCUUACCAAGGCAACGAUGCAUAGCCGACCUGAGAGGGUGAUCGGCCACACUGGAACUGAGACACGGUCCAGACUCCUACGGGAGGCAGCAGUAGGGAAUCUUCCGCAAUGGGCGAAAGCCUGACGGAGCAACGCCGCGUGAGUGAUGAAGGUCUUCGGAUCGUAAAACUCUGUUAUUAGGGAAGAACAUAUGUGUAAGUAACUGUGCACAUCUUGACGGUACCUAAUCAGAAAGCCACGGCUAACUACGU